CAAAACUCCUCACUUCGUGGUGAACGAGAAACGAGAAAGCAGAGGAGAAGGCGCUCACCUCCCAGUACCCCUCCAAGUUGAUGCCCCUAAUUGUGUAUCAGAGGUCUCUGAAAGAAAUACAAUUGGUAAACGACCGAGGUACUGGGAUAACCUCUCAGGAAUCGUUCCCCACCAGUCCUUUCCCUCCGGCGGUCUAUCAAGCUCACAGGGAAAGACUGAAAAAAGAGCAUCACCGAUGGCCCGGAUGUGAUUGCUUCCUGCACGGUACUGGGAUGUAGCCAACACUUACUGGUGGUCACAGGCACAGUGGGCAUCCACCUACCUCCGACUGCCCACCUCUGUCAACCCUCAGCUCCCGGGUGCUCUCCAGCACUUGGACAGCUCCUCCCCUCCGUGCGGGCUCUGCUCUGCUGCCAGAGGAAAUUUUCUUGUCCUGCCUGAGCUGGGAAGCGAGGAAGUGGCAGAGAUACACACACCUGAGCAAAGAGGAAUGAGCCCAAGAAUGCAUGUACCAGACUCCUGUUCUCAUCUAAAUUAUCAUGUCUAUAAUAAAUGUAUCAGUAGAGAAAAGCAUUGCAGAUACAUUUUACAGGUAGUUUGUUAAUUGUGGUACAAUGCACAUAAGCUAAAAUUUUCCAUUGUCACCGUUUCCAAGUGUAUGGAGCAGUGGCAUUGAAUACAGUCACUCUGUAAUUAAUCAUCAAGCCAUUCAACUCCAGAAUUCCAUCUUCCCAAGCUGAAACUCUGAACUCACAAACACUGACUCUACCCUACCCCAGCCCUGCCCCAGCAGUGACCACUCUACUUUAUUCCUGCGAGUGUUCUCCUCUAAG
ensembl:lncRNA